AGUGAACGCUGGCGGUAGGCCUAACACAUGCAAGUCGAACGGCAGCACAGGAGAGCUUGCUCUCUGGGUGGCGAGUGGCGGACGGGUGAGGAAUACAUCGGAAUCUACUCUGUCGUGGGGGAUAACGUAGGGAAACUUACGCUAAUACCGCAUACGACCUACGGGUGAAAGCAGGGGAUCUUCGGACCUUGCGCGAGUGAAUGAGCCGAUGUCGGAUUAGCUAGUUGGCGGGGUAAAGGCCCACCAAGGCGACGAUCCGGAACUGGUCUGAGAGGAUAAUCAGCCACACUGGAACUGAGACACGGUCCAGACUACUACGGGAGGCAGCAGUGGGGAAUAUUGGACAAUGGGCGCAAGCCUGAUCCAUCCAUACCGCGUGGGUGAAGAAGGCCUUCGGGUUGUAAAGCCCUUUUGUUGGGAAAGAAAUCCAGCUGGCUAAUACCCGGUUGGGAUGACGGUACCCAAAGAAUAAGCACCGGCUAACUUCGUGCCAGCAGCCGCCGUAA
rnacentral:rRNA from 1 species